rnacentral:rRNA from 1 species
UGGGGAAUAUUGCACAAUGGGCGCAAGCCUGAUGCAGCCAUGCCGCGUGUAUGAAGAAGGCCUUCGGGUUGUAAAGUACUUUCAGCGGGGAGGAAGGGAGUAAAGUUAAUACCUUUGCUCAUUGACGUUACCCGCAGAAGAAGCACCGGCUAACUCCGUGCCAGCAGCCGCGGUAAUACGGAGGGUGCAAGCGUUAAUCGGAAUUACUGGGCGUAAAGUGCACGCAGGCGGUUUGUUAAGUCAGAUGUGAAAUCCCCGGGCUCAACCUGGGAACUGCAUCUGAUACUGGCAAGCUUGAGUCUCGUAGAGGGGGGUAGAAUUCCAGGUGUAGCGGUGAAAUGCGUAGAGAUCUGGAGGAAUACCGGUGGCGAAGGCGGCCCCCUGGACGAAGACUGACGCUCAGGUGCGAAAGCGUGCGGAGCAAACAGG